rnacentral:rRNA from 1 species
UACGAAGGGGGCUAGCGUUGCUCGGAAUCACUGGGCGUAAAGGGUGCGUAGGCGGGUCUUUAAGUCAGGGGUGAAUCCUGGAGCUCAACUCCAGAACUGCCUUUGAUACUGAAGAUCUUGAGUCCGGGAGAGGUGAGUGGAACUGCGAGUGUAGAGGUGAAAUUCGUAGAUAUUCGCAAGAACACCAGUGGCGAAGGCGGCUCACUGGCCCGGUACUGACGCUGAGGCACGAAAGCGUGGGGAGCAAACAGG